AGAAUCAACGCUGGCGGCGUGCCUAACACAUGCAAGUCGCACGAGAAAGGGGAGCAAUCCCUGAGUAAAGUGGCGCACGGGUGAGUAACACGUGAAUUAUCUACCUCCGAGUGGGGAAUAACCAAAAGAAUUUGGCUAAUACCGCAUAACACUUACGAGUCAAAGCAGCAAUGCGCUUGGAGAGGAGUUCGCGGCAGAUUAGCUAGUUGGCGGAGUAAUGGCCCACCAAGGCGAUGAUCUGUA
rnacentral:rRNA from 1 species